rnacentral:rRNA from 1 species
AAGCCAGACUCCUACGGGAGGCAGCAGUGGGGAAUAUUGCGCAAUGGGGGAAACCCUGACGCAGCAACGCCGCGUGAGUGAGGAAGUAUCUCGGUAUGUAAAGCUCUAUCAGCGGGGAAGAAAGAGGACGGUACCCGACUAAGAAGCCCCGGCUAACUACGUGCCAGCAGCCGCGGUAAUACGUAUGGUGCAGGCGUUAUCCGGAUUUACUGGGUGUAAAGGGAGCGCAGGCGGCACGGCAAGCCUGAUGUGAAAGCCCGCGGCCCAACCGCGGGACUGCAUUGGGAACUACCGGGCUGGAGUGCCGGAGAGGUAGGCGGAAUUCCUAGUGUAGCGGUGAAAUGCGUAGAUAUUAGGAGGAACACCAGUGGCGAAGGCGGCCUACUGGACGGUGACUGACGCUGAGGCUCGAAAGCGUGGGGAGCAAACAGGAUUAGAUACCCUUGUA